rnacentral:lncRNA from 1 species
UAUUUUAUAAGUUUUAAAACUUUGAAAAAUACAAAACUAUAUAGUGACUUUAAGUAGCUCGCAAAAUAAAUUAUAAAAUCACAAGCUCAAAAGUUAUAGUUCUUUGAAAAUUCAAAAAGUAUAGUUACUUUUUUAACUGAAAAACUAGAUAAUUUAUGCAUGUUGAUUUAUAUCAUGUCGUUUCAUCUAGUAUCUUAUAGUUUGCUUCC